CGGAGGGUGCAAGCGUUGUUCGGAAUUACUGGGCGUAAAGCGCGUGUAGGCGGCCGAUUAAGUCUGGUGUGAAAGCCCGGGGCUCACCCCCGGAAGUGCGCUGGAAACUGGUCGGCUAGAGUAUGGGAGAGGAAAGUGGAAUUCCCGGUGUAGCGGUGAAAGGCGUAGAUAUCGGGAGGAACACCAGCGGCGAAGGCGGCUUUCUGGACCAAUACUGACGCUGAGACGCGAAAGCGUGGGGAGCAAACAGGAUUAGAUACCCUGGUGGUCCACGCCGUAAACGAUGAGUACUGGGUGUCGCGGGUAGUUGACCCCUGCGGUGCCGUAGCUAACGCGUUAAGUACUCCGCCUGGGGAUUACGGUCGCAAGAUUA
rnacentral:rRNA from 1 species